rnacentral:rRNA from 1 species
UGCAGUAGUUUUGCUGUUAGGCAAUGUGGUGUUUGGGUCGGCUAGUGGGAUUGCCACUCCACUCGAAGUCCAGCAUUGAGUAUGGUCACUGGAUUUGGCCCAGAGAGGGUGAAAGGCCCGUACGGGUGGAGGUCUCAGACAAGUAAGGCAAUUCACCAGGCCGGCCUUAGAGUCGGGUUGUUUGUGAAUGCAGCCCAAAGUGGGUGGUAAACUCCAUCCAAGGCUAAAUACUAGCACGAGUCCGAUAGCGAACAAGUACCGUGAGGGAAAGUUGAAAAGUACUUUGAAGAGAGAGUAAACAGUACGUGAAACCGCAUGCAGGUAAACGGGUGGCGUCAAGCUGCAAGCCCGGAGGAUUCAGCUGGCUAGGAUGUUGUGUAUGCGCCUGGCGCAUCUAUCAGCCGGAGUAAGAUGUGAUAGUCCACUGGUAAACGGUGGGCCCGGCCGCAAGGUUGGGAUAUGUGUACCGGGCGGAAGCCGGAGCAUGCUAUUCGUCUGUUGGGCUGUCUAGUCAGUGCACUUUCUCUGUGGUGAACACCACGACCGGUGGAAUUGCCAGUCUGCUGUAGUCAAGUCGUAUUCAGUCGGUUCUUGUAGCCAACUGGGUGCGAUCACAGGCAAACUCAGUAAACGGCGUAGGGGUGUCUCGGCAUCCUUGCGUGUUAUCGGCUGCUGGUUGUCAACGGGCCUGCCUGAUGAUUGUUGUAACCGUCAUUGGGUGGUCUGGUGGGCUAUGGUGGUAAGAAUAACUGUGCAAGGCAUCGGAGUUCUCGGCCUCAAAUGCAUCCUGCAUACACGUUACAAGUGGAGUGGGGUGCCAUUGCAGCCUGCCUGUUGUUGGGUCUGAUUGUCGUGUCGCCUGCGCAAAGUGGGCCCGGCAGUGGCCUGAUGCGGGAUGGGUUGUGGAUGGUGCUUCCUGUGUAGGGUGCGGUGGGUCAAAUAGUCAGUGG